CGCAUGGCUAAGAGCUCUACAUUAUGGUUUGCAAAGGUAUGUGAAGUAUGCCAAUCCGCACUUGGCCAGCGUGGUGGACUAAAGCCAACCCUUCUCAUUCUGUGUGGAGACCCAUUUUCAGUAGUGAAUGGGCGAAGGGUUGAUCGUAAUG